rnacentral:tRNA from 1 species
GGGCACAUGUUCCAAGGGAUGGCGAGUUUGCCUUGCACGCAGACUGUGAAGAGUUCGAUUCUCUUUGUCUCCA